rnacentral:rRNA from 1 species
AACGAACGCUGGCGGCAGGCUUAACACAUGCAAGUCGAACGCACUCUUCGGAGUGAGUGGCAGACGGGUGAGUAACGCGUGGGAACGUACCUUUCGGUUCGGAAUAACCCAGGGAAACUUGGGCUAAUACCGGAUGCGCCGGAAACGGGAAGAUUUAUCGCCGAAAGAUCGGCCCGCGUCGGAUUAGCUAGUUGGUGGGGUAAAGGCCUACCAAGGCGACGAUCCGUAGCUGGUCUGAGAGGAUGAUCAGCCACACUGGGACUGAGACACGGCCCAGACUCCUACGGGAGGCAGCAGUGGGGAAUAUUGGACAAUGGGCGAAAGCCUGAUCCAGCCAUGCCGCGUGAGUGAAGAAGGCCUUAGGGUUGUAAAGCUUCUUUCAGCGGGACGAUAAUGACGGUACCGCAGAAGAAGCCCCGGCUAACUUCGUGCCAGCCGCCGCCGUAA